UGCAUUCCGAUUUCGUGCUCUAUAGGUUCAUUUUGUUUCUGUAUCAUUCAGGUUUUUAAUGGAAAUCGAUACGAGCCUUUCAAAGAACAGAGUUUAGCAAGUGGGAACAGGUUUUUAAUGGAAAUCGAUACGAGCCUUUCAAAGAACAGAGUUUAGCAAGUGGGAACAGGUUUAUAAUGGAAAUCGAUACGAGCCUUUCAAAGAACAGAGUUUAGCAAGUGGGAACAGGUGAUUUACAGGAGGGGUUAAUGAGAGGAAAUACUGUCAACCAAUAAUUAACAGCUGGUGAUGACAACCUUUGAUGGUAGCUUGUGCUUCAAUCUUUAACAUUAU